rnacentral:rRNA from 1 species
UUUAAUUAACUUUAACGUUAGGGUCGGGACGGGUGGAGUAACGACGUCGGCGACCACGCCGCCGCGGGACGGUACCGCCUGGAAACAGGCGCUAAUACCGCAUAAGCGCAUACAGCCGCAUGGCAGUAUGCGGAAAGCUCCGGCGGCACGGGAUGGGCCCGCGCCCGAUUAGCCAGUUGGCGGGGUAACGGCCCACCAAAGCGACGAUCGGUAGCCGGCCUGAGAGGGCGGACGGCCACAUUGGGACUGAGACACGGCCCAAACUCCUACGGAAGGCAGCAG